UAGGGAAUCUUCCACAAUGGACGCAAGUCUGAUGGAGCAACGCCGCGUGAGUGAAGAAGGUUUUCGGAUCGUAAAGCUCUGUUGUUGGUGAAGAAGGAUAGAGGCAGUAACUGGUCUUUAUUUGACGGUAAUCAACCAGAAAGUCACGGCUAACUACGUGCCAGCAGCCGCGGUAAUACGUAGGUGGCAAGCGUUGUUCGGAUUUAUUGGGCGUAAAGCGAGCGCAGGCGGAAUGAUAAGUCUGAUGUGAAAGCCCACGGCUCAACCGUGGAACUGCAUCGGAAACUGUCAUUCUUGAGUGCAGAAGAGGAGAGUGGAAUUCCAUGUGUAGCGGUGGAAUGCGUAGAUAUAUAGAAGAACACCAGUGGCGAAGGCGGCUCUCUGGUCUGCAACUGACGCUGAGGCUCGAAAGCAUGGGUAGCGAACAGG
rnacentral:rRNA from 1 species